AGAGUCACUCUGAGUCACCCAGGCUGGAGUGCACUGGUGCAAUCACGGCUCACUGCACCCUCGAACUUCUGGUCUCAAGCUAUGCUCCUGCCUUAGUUCCCCAAGUAGCUGGGACUACAGGCAUCUCACUGGACACAGAAGACACAACUGUGAACAAGUCCAAGAAAGACCCUGUUCUCAGGAAACUGAAAUUCCUGCUAGAAGGUCUGGCAAACCUUCGUUCAGAGAUAUGACAAAAUCAAGGGUUGUGCAAGAAGCAUGGUGCUGGCAUCUGCUCCUGGUUGAGGCCUCAGGAAGCUUCCAGUCAUGGCAGGAGGCAAAGAGGGAGCCGGCAUGUGCAGAGAUCACAUGGAAAGAGAGGAAGGAAAAAAGAGAGGAGGAGAUAUGAACUAAUAGAGCGAGUACUCACUCCACCAAGGGAAUGGCACCAAGCCAUACAUACAUGAGGGAUCCGCCCCCAUGAACCAACCACCUCUCACUAGGCCCACCUCCAACAUCGGGGAUCACAUUUCAACAUGAGAUUUGGAGGGGACACACAUCCAAACCACAUCAUGCCCAACCUUGAAAUACAGUGAAUCUCACUUUAUUGCUUUUACUCUCAAGCAACCAAAUCCUUUACCCUCUUUCCCACGUCCGCUAUAAUCUAGGGUCAUGAGAACGCCUUAUCUUCAUUCCAGAUCACAAGAGUGUCCCAUUCCACUAAACCACAGGCACUCCCAUGGCAGAAACAUCCUCACUCUCAAAACUUCCUUAAUAUGAAGCACGGUUCUAGGCACAAAACAGGCACACAGAAAAUACUUGUGUGGUUAUUGAUUGAGCAAAGAAUUUUACAAACAGUAAAAGGGGUACUGUAUGCCUGACAGCUCAAGGGUUGUUGUAAAUGCAAACUUCAUCUUUCUGCCUUUGGGGAAAGGAGUACUGAUGCUGGUUUAACUCUGUUCCCUUUAAGAGUGUCUGGUUGAAGCUGAAACUCACACCAUCAACUUCUGAUAAAGCAACAGAAAUUUGACUGGGUUAGGCCUGACUCCAAAGCAGCUUUUAAGAUGGUUAUGUUGCUGCCACUUUUCUCACACAAGGAGCUGGAAAUUCUACCAAGCCUCUGAUCUGACACCAGAGCCUAGUUCUAAACGUUCCCUGGGUCUGCCCCAAUGGUAUACACAAGCCCUGGGAAGAGGAAGAAACAGCUUAUGAUUGCUGUGUCUUCCCCGACGCUGGAAAGAAUGGUGUUCCUUGAUCCCAGUGCUUCCAUGACCCUGAUGAAAGCCUCAGCCCUGGAUCCCAGAGUGAUCGCCUAGAGCAAAUGCUUGAGUGAGAUUUCAGCUCUUCUCUUGCCAAGAUGUGGCUUUUCAAGGCUGGGCUGCCAAUGAAAAUGUCAACAAUGCUCAGAUCAAGAGGAAAAUGCUCAUUUCACCCUCAGAGGGCAUCCAACAUUCCAGCAGAUCAGUGGUGAUCCAAGGUGCCCUUUGUUGAUCAGGGCAGAGAAUACAUUUCCUUUCCCAAGACAGAGCAGUCCAGUGUGGUUAGUAAAUGGGCCAGCACCAAAGAGGCUGCAUGCAGAGUGGAAGCUGAGGCAGGUGAUGCCCUCCUUCCUCCACAGAGAGGCUUAGAUCCCUUAGAAGAGGCAACUGGUCUUGGGGACAUAUUCUGAGUCUCUCCUGAAGCAAUGGAAAUGGGAUCCAGCUUUGGAAUCUGAUCCCCUCCCUUGCAAAUGAAACUUGGUUCCAAGGAGCAACCAACUGAACAAAUCCCAAAUGCCAGACAUUGAAACAAUGGCAGAAUUAGCUAGAGGAGAGCUAAUGUCCCUAUGAAUCUAGCUAGCCCUAAGCCCAAGCCUCACAAGUCAAAAUAUAAAUGAAUUAUCUAAAACUAAGAGACCUGAUUGCUGAAUCUUGAUUAAGAUGAGCAUUCAAGAUGAGGAUACUGAAUGUGUUGAAAUAGCCAAGGGAGGGCUGGGCUUGUUUCAACUAAGGUGUCUACGUGCCUUAUUAACAUUACUAACAAAGGAGAAAAAAAGAUGUUAAAAAGUAGCAAUGAUGCAAUAACUGGCUUUGAGUGAUUCUAGAAAAGGAGCAGGCAUUUGCUUUGAAAUGAACUCUCAGAAUUAGCUUGUUCUUCCACAGGAUCAUAGACUCGUCUAGUUUUGUGUUUUCCAGACUGUGCUGUGAGGAGAACAAGCAAUUCCUGAGAGAUCUCAGGCUCCAUCCUCCUACCCUGCCUGAGCUGAAGAAGCUCUUUGUGCCCCUUCUGAAUAUGAUUGGGUUUCUGAGUAAGAAGUUGUUGGGAGAAGUCGUUCUGCUGCUUUGUAUCGGAUAGGACUCUCAGUUGUGAAAGACAAAGACCCUGAUUAACACAAAAUUCAUUUAGGCAAAAGUAGUGUCACACAUAAACUGAAAAGUUAAAAGCUGUGAGCUUCAAGCACAGCCAGAUACAGUGGCUUCUUUGAUGUCAGUGGGGCUGAGGGAGUCUCUGUUUCCUACCUUGCCUCCUUCUAUGUCAGCUUUAUUCAGGCAACCUUCCUUCCCAUGCGGUGGCAAGAUGACCAUCCGGCGGGUUCAGGCUUCCAGCCGGUCAUCUCAGAAGCCCAGUGGUUGUCCUUCCCGAUAGCUCUCUAUCAAUCAGGAUUAGGUUAAGCUGCCAAGUAAAAGAAAACUCAAAGUGACAACAGUUUAAACAAGCUAGAAGUUCAUUCUGUCUUACAUAAACAAAAUCCCAAAGUAAGCAGUCCAGGACUGUGUAGUUCCUCCACAAACAUACAUACGCAUGCAUGUAUCUUUAUGAUAGAAUGAAGGAGAAUAGUGCUACAAUGAACAUACGCAUGCAUGUAUCUUUAUGAUAGAAUGAUUUAUAUUCCUCUGGGUAUAUACCCAGUAAUGGGAUUGUUUGGUCAAAUAGUAUUUCUGUUUCUAGAUCUUUGAGGAAUUGUCACAGUGUUUUCCACAAUGGUUAAUUAAUGGUUAAAUUAAUUAAUUUACAUUCCCACCAUCAGUGUAAAAGUGUUCCUAUUUCUCUGCAACUUCACCAGCAUCUGUUGUUUCUAGACUUUUUAAUAGUUGCCAUUCUGACUGGCAUGAGAUGGUAUCUCACUGUGGUUUUGAUUUGCAUUUCUCUAAUGAUCAGUGAUGUUGAGCUUUUUUUCAUAUGUUUUUUGGCUGCAUGAAUGUCUUCCUUUGAGAAGUGUCUGUUCAUGUCUUUUAUCCACUUCUUAAAGGAAAACCCCCGUCUCUUAAAAAGAAAAAAAAAAUCCUUGGUCAAAUGUAAUCAUAUGCCCACACCUAGUUGUAAGGGAGGCUAGAAGUGUAAUCUUUGUUCCUGGAAGAUAUAAACCCAGCUAAAAGUCAAGAGUUCUGUUACUAAGGGAGAUGGAGAAAAUGGAUUUUGGAGGGAGACUAAUAGCAUCUCAUCUGCCAUGUUAAACUAAUAGUUCCAACAAAAGUUUUCUGGGUUUUUUUGUUUGUUUGUUUUUGUUUUUGAGAUGGAGUCUCACUCUGUU
rnacentral:lncRNA from 1 species